rnacentral:rRNA from 1 species
AACGAACGCUGGCGGCAGGCCUAACACAUGCAAGUCGAGCGCUCACCUUCGGGUGGGAGCGGCGCACGGGUGAGUAACACGUGGGAACCUACCUUGUAGUACGGAAUAACUGAGGGAAACUUCAGCUAAUACCGUAUACGCCCUACGGGGGAAAGAUUUAUCGCUGCAAGACGGGCCCGCGUUGGAUUAGCUAGUUGGUGAGGUAACGGCUCACCAAGGCAACGAUCCAUAGCUGAUUUGAGAGAAUGAUCAGCCACACUGGGACUGAGACACGGCCCAGACUCCUACGGGAGGCAGCAGUGGGGAAUAUUGGACAAUGGGCGCAAGCCUGAUCCAGCCAUGCCGCGUGAGUGAUGAAGGCCUUCGGGUUGUAAAGCUCUUUCAGAUGGGACGAUGAUGACGGUACCAUCAGAAGAAGCCCCGGCUAACUUCGUGCCAGCCGCCGCAGUAACAC